rnacentral:rRNA from 1 species
AUACGGAGGGUGCAAGCGUUAAUCGGAAUUACUGGGCGUAAAGCGUACGUAGGCGGUUUGUUAAGUUAGAUGUGAAAGCCCCGGGCUUAACCUGGGAACUGCAUUUAAAACUGGCAUACUAGAGUUGGGUAGAGGGAAGUGGAAUUUCAGGUGUAGCGGUGAAAUGCGUAGAGAUCUGAAGGAACACCAGUGGCGAAGGCGACUUCCUGGACUCAAUCUGACGCUGAGGUACGAAAGCGUGGGUAGCAAACGGGAUUAGAUACCCUAGUAGUCC